UCAGGCAUGUAUCGAAGCCAAGACUGCAUUGGUUGUUGUUUUUGGUCAAAAUGAUGCCUAUAAUAACUUCCUCUGACGGUCGCUGCCUGCCAUGUCUUGCUUGCAGCAUCACCAACAGUCGAUACAAAC